rnacentral:ncRNA from 1 species
AGGAGCCGUAUGAGGUGAAAAUAUCAUGUACGGUUCUGUAAAGGGACAGUAAGGGCGGACACCGUCGGUAUUGCCUUGCGAAGAGCUUUACUUGGAGAAAUAGAAGGAACAUGUAUCACACGUGCAAAAUUUGGGAGUGUGCCGCACGAGUAUUCUACAAUAGCAGGUAUUGAAGAAUCUGUACAUUGAUUGACCUCCUCCAGACCAGAGAUGAGGUCAAAUUGAAAUUGGAGUUACAAUUCAAUUUUGU